UAACAAGUGAUUGGGGUUACGUUUAAAAGAGUUGUGGUUUUAAUAUAGUAAUGAAGAGACUUUUUAGUAAUAGUAUUGGGAAAAAUAAUUGGAUGGGUUUUGAAAAGAAUGAGUGUCAGGAGAAUAAAAUUGUUUAAUUUAAGUUCUUUUUGUAUCAUGAUCUAUAGAGAAUAAGAAUGAAUUUUUACUCCCGAAAAUUUUAGAGCUACUGUACUAUAAAGUAUUUGUUGAAAAAAAUAAUAAUAGGGUACGGUAGUGGUGACAUGUUUUGCGAAAAAGUUGAUAGCUGGUCGAAGGGAAAAUAUAUUAAAGUAUAGAGUUAAAAUUAUGAACUGACUUGGGUUUAUUUUUAAUAUUUAAAUUCUCUAGGAUAAGCUUGGGAAUGUUGUAGGCUAAAGAAAAAUAAGUAGGAUUUCUAUUGUCUAUCUUAUAAAAAGUUAGUAAUAAAGUAAUUAGGAAAAAGUGUGUUUUGGUACCUUUCUGUUGUUGUUAAUAUUUAAAUAAUUAAUUAGUAUAGAAUUAGUAGUAAUAGAGUUGCUCUUGAAUAAAGAGGUUGUUGUGAAUAAUUUCAUUUGAGAAUUUAAGUUCUUAUAAAGGUCGGGGAAUAGAUAGGAAAUACUUUCUAAAGGAACUCGACAAAUAAAACUUGUGCCUGUUUAACAAAAACAUCGCUUUUUGGUUAUUAAAAUAGAAAGUCGGGCCUGCCCAGUGAGCUAUAUUAAACGGCUGCAACGAGAGUUGUACUAAGGUAGCGCGAUAAUUUGUCUCUUAAUUGGAGAAUGGUAUGAAAGGUUUGUCGCAAGUAAAUUGUCUCUAGAAAGAAAAAUGAAGUUUCCUUUUAAAUGAAAAGGUUUAAGUACGGUUAAAAGACGAGAAGACCCUGUCGAGCUUAAUUAUUCUGGUCGCUUAAGAGUAGUUUUCAAGCUUUUAGAAGAAUGGUAGUUGGGGAGAGCUGGGCUCUAUAUAAUGAGCCCUUUUUAAAACGAAGAUCCUUUUUGAGAGAUAAUAGGCAAAAGCUACCGCAGGGAUAACAGCGUAAUCUUUCUUGAAAGAUCCUAUUGAGGGAAAGGUUUGCGACCUCGAUGUUGGAUUAGAAUAACUGUUUGGUGCAGCAGCUAAAAGAAGUGAGACUGUUCGUCUCUAAAAUUUCUACAUGAUCUGAGUUAAGACCGGCGUGAGCUAGGUCGGUUUCUAUCUUUAGUGGAUACACCUAUUGUACGAAAGGAUCCAGGUGUAAGAUAAGCAUCUUGUUGGUUAAUUAUAUUAGCUUAUCAUAUAGUUAAGUUUAUAAAUAAAGUUG
rnacentral:rRNA from 1 species